rnacentral:lncRNA from 1 species
AAAGAUAUUUCUUCUUAUUUAUCGUCUUCUAUUUGGCUUUAAUGGCAAAAGUUAUAAGAAGAAGAAUCAAAAGUUGAAAGCUUAGUAGGAAGGAGAUUGAAGUCGACGACUUCAUAAGUAGUGGAGUCGACAAUCGAAAAUAGCCUUAGAUGAUAAAAAUUGCUCAAAGAAAGUUCAACACCACAAAACUUUAAAACAACGCUUCUCCUUCCUCCAAUGACGGCAACAACUGAUUUUUGUCCCAAUUAACUCGUCUUCUCGCAGGCUUUUAUUUUGUGGUAGCAUUAGCAUCUGAUUUGGUUGAAAACAUAAAGUUAAAGAGAAAGAGAAAAUCUGCAACAUAUAUUGGAAUAAGUGGUGAGAUUUCAUCUCGGUUUUUGCUUACUUCUUUAUCUUCAAAUUUCUUUAUGUUAUAGUUAAAUAUGUAAUAUCGAUUCAAAUCAUGUUCCUACUCUUUUAAGCUAUUUCUAUGCUAUUUUUUUUUGUUAUUCAAUUUCUUGGUGAAAUUUUACUGCUCUUCAUAUUCUUGUUAAAGACUUAAUGCCUACGGAUAAAAUUAUUUGGUGAUUUGGUAAAGUAGAUAUUUUGUAGAAAUUGUAAAUUGUGAACUUUGUUUGUUAAUUUCUCUCACUUGUCAAAGCUUUUGAUUAUGUACUUAUAGUUAUGAUACAGCCUAAAAUAAGUUUAUUUGUUUCGUUCUUUUACUAAAUUUAUAAAUCUUUUUUUAUUUAACUUUUAUAAUUUUUUAAAUAAUUUUAAAAAUAUUAUAUUUAAUUUUAAAUAACGUGAAAAUUUGAUAGGGUAAAUAUACUAAUAAAUUAAAUUACGUCAUUUGCCACCUCAUUCAAUUUUGGUCAAGAAUGGAUUAUGCCCAAAAUUGCACUUAUUGGGCAAAUCAAGCUAUUUUUAUAAACAAUAAAAGAAUUUGUCAAAACUGCAUUAACGAGUAAAGGUUUGAAUUUUUAGAGUCACUGGUUCCCGGAAAUGGCGGAUCGGGGACCAAGAGGGGCCAUGGUCCCCCUGACUUGGGUACUUAGAUAAAUUAUAUUUAUUUUAAAUACAUUAGAGUUGGAUAUUUUUUCAAUUGAAUUGGACUAGUUUAACUUGACCAAAUAGACUAUAACUUAACUUUAUUUAUUUAUUUAAAAUUGUAUAACUUCUAAAGAAAGUUUACUCUUUUUAAAUUUUAACUACUAAAAUUUAAAUAGAAAGAAACUAUUCUACUAAAAUGAAAUUAAAUAGCUUAUACUAUUGUAAAAGUAAUGGUAAUAACCAAUUUAAAGUAUUUCUUUUUUGAAAAAUUUCUCUAUGAUCAUAUGUAAAUGGUAUUUUUUGUAUUUUUUAUGGAAAAUGGUAUUUUAAUAUUUAAUAUGUUGUUAAUUUAAAUUGACAAAAUUAAUCUAUAUAUAUAUAUAUAUUAAAAUUUAAUUAUGUUGUAAAACUUUAAUUCUUUUAAAUUUAUUUUGACUACGCUACUAGGUCCAGGUCUAGAAAGAAAUUUGAUAUAGAUAAAAAAGGCCAAAAUACUUGUGUUCAUAAGACUUAGUCAAUGCCCAUUCUAUGUCCAAUUUUAUUAAUAAUGUGAAAUAAGGUUGAUAAAAGAUAACUGAAUUAAAAAAGAAAAUCAAAACUGAUCAAAAUCGAACUGAGAAAUGGUUAAUUAAUCAAGAGAUUUUAGUUUUUUUUUUUAAAUUUCAAAGUUUUUAUAAUUUUUAGUUUCAAAUUUGGUUUGGUUUUUUGUUAUAGAACAGCCAACACACCAAGAGAAUGACUAUGACCAAGGAAGCAAGAAUAAACUUGAGGAGAUUGUCAAUCCAAUUAUUCUGCCUCAAGGAUCUAUAGUAAGAUCAUGAGCUAAGAAGAUUCAACAAGCGUUAAUUAGUCAUCUACAAGAUUUGGUGAAUUUGGCUUGUAAUGGGCUGCAAGGAAUCCAAGGCUUGGAGACAAUAUCAAAUAAAGUUAUUUACAACUUAAUUCAAGUUCAACUUCAAAAUGGGCUUACUUAAGUUUGAUUUUUAUUUUUUAGCCUUGUUAAUUGAGUGGAAUUAAAUGUUUAUAUUUUUAUCAUAAUGGGCUGUUUAAAACGUGUCAAUUUAGAAGCUUAUUAAUUUUAUUGCUUUAAUAAUGGGCUGUCCAAAUUUG